CCUACGGGAGGCAGCAGUGAGGAAUAUUGGUCAAUGGACGCAAGUCUGAACCAGCCAUGCCGCGUGCAGGAAGACGGCUCUAUGAGUUGUAAACUGCUUUUGUACGAGGGUAAACGCAGAUACGCGUAUCUGUCUGAAAGUAUCGUACGAAUAAGGAUCGGCUAACUCCGUGCCAGCAGCCGCGGUAAUACGGAGGAUUCAAGCGUUAUCCGGAUUUAUUGGGUUUAAGGGGUGCGUAGGCGGUCGGAUAAGUUAUAGGUGAAAUCCCGAGGCUCAACUUCGGAAUUGCCUCUGAUACUGUGCGGCUAGAGAGUAGUUGCGGUAGGCGGAAUGUAUGGUGUAGCGGUGAAAAUGCUUAGAGAUCAUACAGAACACCGAUUGCGAAGGCAGCUUACCAAGCUACUUCUGACGUUGAGGCACGAAAGCGUGGGGAGCAAACAGGAUUAGAUACCCGGGUAGUC
rnacentral:rRNA from 1 species